rfam:Synechococcus sp. CATP A 1101 synech5_c41, whole genome shotgun sequence.
GUAAUUGCAACUGUAAAGCCAGAGACAGCAGGCGUCCAGCGCUUAAUUUCCUGCCGAGGUUUACCGACAAUUUACCCACUGAUUUGCGAUGGGAUCGCAACAGGGUUUGUUGUAAGGCUUUCAAAACCUCGGUGAUCCACCGGGGUUUUUUCGUCUGGCUA